rnacentral:lncRNA from 1 species
UGGGCGCUGCUGUGCCCACAGCCUAUUUUUGGCACACGGAGGCGCCUCGCAAAGUCUCGCGCCAUUCCGAGUCCGGCGGACGAAGUUGGCAUGCCCCACCCCCCAAGGCUAUAGCCCACACGUUUUUGUGCCCUUUUUUCACUGGACCAACUUGGCGCCCCGGCCUUCGGGCGGUUAUUUUUUGGUACGGCCAUGCCCACGGCCUAUUUUUGCCACAAGGAGAUGCCUCGCAAAGUCUCACGCCAUUCCGAGUCCGGCGGACGAAGUUGGCCAGCCCCACCCCCCAAGGCUAUAGCCCACCCGUUUUUGUGGCCUUUUUCCGCUGGACAAACUUGGUGCCCCGGCCUUCGGUCGGUUAUUUUUGGGCGCGGCUGUGCCCGCGGCCUAUUUUUGGCACACGGAGGUGCCUCGAAAAAUCUCGCGCCAUUCCGAAUCCGGCGGACGAAGUUGGCCAGCCCCACCCCCCAAGGCUAUAGCCCACCCGUUUUUGUGGCCUUUUUCCGCUGGACGAACUUGGCGCCCCGGCCUUCGAGGGGUGAUUUUUAGGCGCAGCUAUGCCCACGGCCAAUUUUUGGCACACGGAGGUGGCUCGUAAAGUGUCGCACCAUUCCGAGUCUGGCGGACGAAGUUUGGUAGC